rnacentral:rRNA from 1 species
ACUCCUACGGGAGGCAGCAGUGGGGAAUAUUGGACAAUGGGCGAAAGCCUGAUCCAGCAAUGCCGCGUGAGUGAUGAAGGCCUUAGGGUUGUAAAGCUCUUUUACCCGGGAUGAUAAUGACRGUACCGGGAGAAUAAGCUCCGGCUAACUCCGUGCCAGCAGCCGCGGUAAUACSGAGGGAGCUAGCGUUGUUCGGAAUUACUGGGCGUAAAGCGCACGUAGGCGGCUUUGUAAGUCAGAGGUGAAAGCCUGGAGCUCAACUCCAGAACUGCCUUUGAGACUGCAUCGCUUGAAUCCAGGAGAGGUGAGUGGAAUUCCGAGUGUAGAGGUGAAAUUCGUAGAUAUUCGGAAGAACACCAGUGGCGAAGGCGGCUCACUGGACUGGUAUUGACGCUGAGGUGCGAAAGCGUGGGGAGCAAACRGGAUUAGAUACCCUGGUAGUCCACGCCGUAAACGAUGAURACUAGCUGUCCGGGCACUUGGUGCUUGGGUGGCGCAGCUAACGCAUUAAGUUAUCCGCCUGGGGAGUACGGUCGCAAGAUUAAAACUCAAAGGAAUUGACGG